rnacentral:rRNA from 1 species
UACGUAGGGGCCAAGCGUUGUUCGGAAUUACUGGGCGUAAAGCGCGUGUAGGUGGCGAUGUAAGUCGGGUGUGAAAUCCCUCAGCUUAACUGAGGAAGUGCACUCGAUACUGUGUCGCUUGAGUGUUGGAGGGGAUGGCGGAAUUCCCGGUGUAGAGGUGAAAUUCGUAGAUAUCGGGAGGAACACCUGUGGCGAAGGCGGCCAUCUGGACAACUACUGACACUGAGACGCGAAAGCGUGGGUAGCAAACAGG